UACGUAGGUGGCAAGCGUUGUCCGGAUUUACUGGGCGUAAAGAGCGCGCAGGCGGUCGUUCAAGUCGCGUGUGAAAGCCCCCGGCUCAACUGGGGAGGGUCACGCGAUACUGAUCGACUCGAAGGCAGGAGAGGGUAGUGGAAUUCCUGGUGUAGCGGUGAAAUGCGUAGAGAUCAGGAGGAACACCCGUGGCGAAGGCGGCACUCUGGUCGACAUCUGACGCUGAGACGCGAAAGCGUGGGGAGCGAACGGG
rnacentral:rRNA from 1 species